CCGGGGCUGGGAGGGCGGGGGCUAACGGGAGCACAGGGCUAGGGAUCCUGAGCCGGGCGCGGGGUGAGCGGCCCGUCGCGUUCAUUUCCAUAAGAAAGCUGAAAUCGCGGUUGGAGGGAGGAUUUCUCGCCCUAACCGCCCUCCCCCUAUACCCGGUUUUCGGCAAGAAGCGGGCUCCGGAGCUCAGAGCCCUACGUGUGUGCGCUGGUCUUUGAUGGUAUUGAUAAAAUGUGGUUUCAGAUGUUGCCCCGACUGAGGCCGGUUUCCUGUCUGUUGUGCGGAGUGGAAGGACCGCGCGGGGACUCCAAAGCUGCUCGCGGUGAUCAAGCUGUUUCCAAAUUCUGCUACCUAAGAUGUUUACAGCACUCCACCCCAACGGAGGAGGUCAGAAGCUAGAGAGGAUGUUUUCAAAGAGUCCACCAGAGGCGUCUAUCAUCUAGGUCUGGCGGGACUUGCUUUCUCAGGAAACCUGGUGGGCGAGUCUGGUCAGAGGUGGAGGCAAGUUUCCGCAACUUACAACUCGCUUUGAAACUGACACAGAAAGUGGGCAGCGAAUGCUGUCACCCAGAGAGGGCCUCCACGGCCCUUUUCUCUCCCGGUGGACUCCUGAGACUCCCCCUAAGUGGCCCUUAGACAUUCAAGAUGUCAGGUAAGCUGGGAGGAGGAGUUUGAUCUGUCCCCUGCACCCAAGUAAAUACAAAUACAUUUUGCUCCUUGAAAAGAAAUGUCACCGCUUUAAACUUGCCCCAGCCAGAGAUCCAACUAGUUGCAUCAGGGUCUCUUGUCAGCAACCUUACCCCAUCCUGCCUCGUGUCCUUCUUUGUGGCCUAAGGUUGCAUUUUAGGGGGGUUUCUACAACGCUGCUCAUGUCAGCAAACCUCCCUGUCUCCAGCCUCACCCCAUCUCCCUGCCCGGAACGGUAGUCGGAAACCACAGACACACAAAUUCUCGUUAAAAUUUUCUGUUAUUCUUCCCGAUGGGAAGAGUUGACAAGACAUCGACAUUAAGUUGCAUAAAAUACAGUGGACUGAUCAGCCAGAAUGCAUCUCAUUUGCACUUGUACGGAGCCAGGGGUAGUGUCACUCCCUCCCUCCAGUUCUCUCUGCCAUGCUGGGCUGCCUGGCUGGAAUUUCCUAGCCGGCCCCACUCCGGAGGCCAUUGGUGAGGUCGGAGCCCCAGCCCAGCCCAGUUCAGGCCAGCCAGGGUUGGGGGGGGGGAGGUGGGAGGGCAGAAGCCUCUGGAGGCCUGGCCCGAGGGUUGAGCCAACUUUGGCAGACCUUCCACUCUGGGCUGCCCCGGGGGGGCUGUGAGGCCCUGCUGGGUGGGCGCAGGCGGCUGGAAGCCCCACAGUCUGCAGCUCUUCCGAGGGGCCCCCCUCUGGGUUGAAUUAAAGGAAGAGGACACCAUGAAGGAGAGGGAUGGUCACUGAACACAGUUUAUACCCACUUCUACCCUUCUUCCCCAAUUUUGUUCUCAUCACCUCCUUUGUCACCAGUGGAGGGGCACCGCGUCCUGAUGGGUUCUUCUCCCUACUCGUCCUCCUGACCUCAGAGCGUGAGGGCUUCUUCCUUUUCUCCCGCCUGGCCCAGCUGCCCUCCUGGGACCCAGAGUUCCCAGAAAAAAAAAAAAAAAAAUGCCUUUCUCAUCAACUCUCAAAGGCCCGGGCAGCUGCAAGGGGGAGCCUCGGGAACCCAGUGGGGGCACCAGGGGGAAGUUUGGGGUCUUUAUGCUGUUCUGCCUCACCAUUCACAAUCACUCCCCUGCUGCUUUGGUCUCAACUUUCCCGAACCGGGUGCUGGGGCUUCAACUCCUAUCCACCAAUACCUACCCAGAGCAGGGGCGCCGGGUCACUGCCAAGGUUUGGUGGUGAAGGGAGGCCUGGGGGCAGCGGUGACAGAAGGGCCAGAGGGUAUGGGGGGCUCGGGGAGCCUCAGCGAGGGUGGGGGGAGGACUCGAGUGCCCAAGCUUAGCCUCCUUGAAAGCCUCAAAAGCACGUCCCGGGGGCGUCUUUUCCAUGGUGUCCUGCUUGCUCUCCUUGCAAAGGCCAUGGUGACUCUGACAUCCGCCAAACCCAGGAGCUCCCCUUUUCUCCAGCGUUCUUCUUGUCCAGCAGGGAGGCGUGUGGACUGCUUCUGGGCCUCCACUGCCAGGCCUGAUCGCAGCCCAUGACCUUCGCGGAGGGGUGGGGGCGGGGGGGAGCAACCAAGGGCCAGGGAUGUUGCCCAGCAAGACCGCGGCCUCACUGCGCCACCGGAGGAACAGCCACCGACGAGGCCCGGCGGACCCAGGCGCCGCCACCCACCCAUGCCCGCGGCGGGCCUGAGGGAGCGCAGGGGCCGAGGCCGUGAAGCCGGGCAGCCAGCCUUGCACCAUUGACAGCCGGGGCACGUCUGCGGAGCCCGGGGGGAACAAUCAACGGACUCUAUGUCCCGGGAGCUGGGGACACGCCUGUAAGGCCUUUCUGCCUGCUCAUAGCCACUGGGAGAAAAAUCAAGCGUCUUCCUCUUUGAUAAAUAGAGGAAAGCCGGUGGGAUCAGGUACAUAUAUAAAUAGUGUUGACCUCCUCGGCCCCUCCUCAUUGAAAAGCAGAAAGCCCAUUACAGGGGCAGGUUGCUCAGUGCCUUUGAGGAUCCACCAUUACCACCCCGUGGACUUCACUGGACCCCAGACUACUUACUUUGCACCGCUGUCUUGUUGAAAACAUCCAGGACAACUAUUAAAUAGUUCUCAGAAGAAUUAAAGACAUUCUUCAGGUCUGAAACAUUUUUAAAGCCCUGGAUGAAAUCUUCAAGGAGCACAAAGUAUAAUCGUGUGCAAUGUUCCAGCCGACUAAAUGGGCUUGCCUUCUGCCGAGAGGCAGUCCUGGAGGACACAACUAAUGUGCAAUCUCCCAGGCAGCUCUUCAUCAGAGCAUCCCUUGUCCUUUUGUUUUUGUUUUCGUAUUAAAAGAUGUUUUUGCUUUCC